UACAGAGGUCUCAAGCGUUGUUCGGAUUCAUUGGGCGUAAAGGGUGCGUAGGCGGCGUGGUAAGUCGGGUGUGAAAUCUCGGAGCUUAACUCCGAAACUGCAUUCGAUACUGCCGUGCUUGAGGACUGGAGAGGAGACUGGAAUUUACGGUGUAGCGGUGAAAUGCGUAGAUAUCGUAAGGAAGACCAGUGGCGAAGGCGGGUCUCGUGGACAGUUCCUGACGCUGAGGCACGAAGGCCAGGGGGAGCAAACGGGG
rnacentral:rRNA from 1 species